GCUUUCGCAGUUUUGCCGCGUUUGCAUGAGCAUGAAUGGGAGAGAGGGUUACAGCCUGCAAGGUUGGAGAUUGAAGAAGAAGGGAAGCAAUCCAACGACAUAUAUAAGGUCCCAUAUGCAAAAUAACCUUUCAGCUCCUGAACUUGCGCUAUAUCAUGGAGAGUGGUCUGAUUCCUGGAAAAAUCUAUAGCUGCCCAAUCAAUUUGGUGUGAUCUCUGAUUGUUCCUCUUUUUUUUUUUUUUUGGGCGAGAUUCAUUUGAUUUGCUUCGAGUCUUAUUGCCAGCAAGAACGCCUGCGCUCUUCUUUUCAAUGAGGAUACAAUUUCGUGAAGUGCCCGAAUUUCAAUAUUUUGUGAUCCUGUAACUGGAUUUUCACUUUUGAGUUCUGAUAUUUUGUACCUUGCCUCUUACAGCGUGGAGCGUGGGCUGCCAUUCUUUAUAUAUUUUUUUUUCUGUUACUAAAAAUGCUAUGCUCGACACUUGUUGAGCUAGCUGCAGACUGGAUUAUGGACUCCUCCGUAUUUUGUUGAACCUUUGCCGGCUCUGUUGCCUGUAGUCCUGGAUUUUCAUACUCACCUCGUGGAUGUGGGUUUGAAAUGAAGAGAACUGGAUUAUGAAUGUGUACAUUUUUGUUGGCUUGUUAUCCACGGAUCAAUUCUUUCGUCUGAAUAAAUCUCCCAGCAUGGUUCCUGUCCGAAAACUGAGAUUACAGAUGAACUCCAGCCAUGCUCACAACUAAAGGCGGAGUCAGGAUCCUAGGUCGGGAAUAAUGGUGA